rnacentral:rRNA from 1 species
UACGUAGGGGGCCAGCGUUGUCCGGAAUCAUUGGGCGUAAAGCGUCUGUAGGUGCUUUUUAAGUCCGCCGUCAAAUCCCAGGGCUCAACUCUGGACCAGGCGGUGGAAACUACCAAGCUGGAGUACGGUAGGGGCAGGAGGGAAUUUCCGGUGGAGCGGUGAAAUGCGUAGAGAUCGGAAAGAACACCAACGGCGAAAGCACUCUGCUGGGCCGACACUGACACUGAGAGACGAAAGCUAGGGGAGCGAAUGGG